rnacentral:lncRNA from 1 species
AAACACAAAUAAAAGAAUAGAAGCUUUAUAUUACAAGCCAGGGCCCUCGAGGGCUCGAAUACAUAGCUCGAUACACAAGAGUCAGCGGAAGCAACAAUAUCUUAUUACAGACAUAAGUUAAACAAGGAUGCCUUAAGAAGGCAAACACAAAAGCAACAACGAUCGAAGAGGCAAGGCCUCCUGCCUGAGACCUCCUAACUACUCCUGGUUGUUGGCGGUCUCCAUGUAGUAGUAUCUGUCGGCGGUGGCAUCUGGCUCCAGGGAUCCAUCAUCUGGUUGCAUCAACCGGAAAUAAGAAAGAAGGGGGAAAGGGGGUAGCAAAGCAACCGUGAGUACUCAUCCAAAGUACUCGCAAGCAUCAGGUCUAUACUAAGUAUGCAUUGGUAUCAAAGGAAGGUAUGUAUCUGUGGACUGAACUACAGAAUGCCGGAAUAGAGGGGGAAGGCCUAGCCUAUCGAAGACUAGCAUCUUCAAGUAGCACCAAUCAUCUUGUAGCAUGUAGAAGAGUAAAGAAUAGCAUUUUAAUAAAUAACAAACAUGUUGUAGAAACAACGCCCAGAGAUCCUUCCUCGACUCCCUGCGAGAAAGCAAUCUCGGAGCCACAUAUCCAUCACAUAUCUCAAGUAUCCAUUUCUAGUUGUAUAAGAUCAGGAUACAAGUCCGAACGUCCAUUACCUUGGACAUGGUAUUCGAAUAUAUAUCUUCCCUGCAGGGGUGCACCAUGUUACCCAACACGCUUGAUUACUCUGGCCAAACACACUUUACUGGGUCAAUUCCCGGCCUCGGAAGAUCAACACGUCGCAACCCUACCUAAGCUCAGCAGACAAGUCCCCGGCGGUCUACAUCCUAAGCACUCCGGGGUCUUGGGCCCAUCGCCCGCAGGACUCUGGGUCGUUGCGAGCAGGGUGGAUACCAGCACCGCCUCGGAUGGCCAGCACGAUCCGACCGUGCCGCACUGCUGAACUGGACGUUUGACAAAGCUUCGGCUGAUACUGCGACGUCGAGGCCCAUAACUAUUCUCGCAUGGUGGUUAGUGCGUAAAGGCCAGAGGCCAACUCAGAACAAAUGCCCAAAUAUGUUAGUGCAUUGGGGGCUCGCGGAAACGAGCAGAGACUCAUGAUAAUGUGACCCCGUCGCCUUGUCUCGUGGACUUACGGCAAGUGCCCGGACUGCCCGGCCGUGCCACGUGGAAAACUCGCGGGUGCUCUCUGGGCCCGCCCGACUUUCACAUCAACUCGUGCGUACCCCUCAGGGCCAACCCGACUCCAUCAAUGGUCUCAAGUAAAGUCAAGGUAACCGUGUGUCCAAAACAUCAAGGGGAAAACCCGAGGAAUCACCCUCGAUGGAUUCCACUCAAUGUAAUCAUCAAGGUGAACGUAAGAGGAACCACCCUCGAGGUUCGCACUUGAGGGGUUGCACGACAUAGUCGUAUCGGGAGUGGUCAAGGAGGAAUCACCCUCGAUGAUCACGACCGAAUAGCUACACUACAAAAUUAUCAUCAGGAGUGCGUUACGAGGUAUCACCCUCGGCACUCGAUAGUAGCUUUGCAGAGUCGGGCAACAAAGGAGGUAUGAUGUGAUGUGAGGUGUCGGGCUCUGGUCAUCGAUCACGUUGAUCAAGACUUCGAUGAUGAAGCAGGGGCAACAAGGACAAGGUGGGGGGCACUGAUGGAUCACUAACCAACCUAUACUAAGAAGUUUAGGAUAAGCAAGUAAGGUGCAACAACAGGUACAAAAGCAGGCUAUGCAUCAGAAUAGGAGCAAUCAAUUACAAUAGCAAAAUCUAAUGCAAGCAUGAGAGUAUGGAAUAGGCGAUAUCGGGAUGAUCAAAGGGGGGGGGGGCUUCCAUGGAAGCUCCGCUGAAAGGGGAAGAAGGGUCGUCGGUGACGUAGUCGAUCACAAGGGCAUCAGCUGCGGUCUCGGGGUCUACCGCAGAGAAGAGGGGGAAGAAACAGUUAAUACAGAGCAAACAGGAGCAAUACUAAGCAUGACAAGACAAAAAGCAGUGCUAGGGGUGUUCUAAUGCAGUGUUACAUGAUACCGGUGAAGGGGAAAAACAUCCGGGAAAGUAUCCCUGGUGUUAGGCAUUUUCGGGCAGACGAACUGGAGGGGGAAGGUUGCAUGUUCGCUAUGCUAGGGAUGUGUGGCAGACGAACAGACUGCGUAUUCGGAUUCUUCUCGUCGUUCUGAGCAACUUUCAUGUAGAAAACUUUUCAUCCGAUUACAGAUUAUUUUAAAUUAAACUUCUAAGUUUAAAACAUUUUUCUGAAUUUCUGGAUUUAUUAUAAUUCAAAAAUAAAAAUAGGAUAUACUUAUUAUACCUACUGUGGGGUAGCCAUAGUGGAUGAUAGGUGGGACCAAGGGGUGGGGUCCAGUUGACUCAGUCAAUCAACUGUUGACUGUUGACUGGUCAAAACUGCAGCUGGGGCCCAUGUGUCAUUCUCACAUAUUUAACAUUUUCUUUUUAAGUGGAUAUAGACUAGUAUUUUAAUAGGAUUAUUUAACUAGUCAAAUUAGCAAUGGGGACCCACAUGUCAUCUGGACAUAGACUAAUCUAGCCACUAAUUAAUCCCUAACCUAAGCUAACCAGGACCGGCCAGACUGGUAGCAGCAAAAAGCAAUCGGUAGCAGGCAAUGGUAGCCGGACCAAACAAGCAGCAGCGGCGUUGCAAAAAAGAAGCAGAAGCAACAAGCAAUAGCCACGACAGUCUAGCAGCAGAAGGAAGCAUCGGAGCAGCGCUAGUAGCAAGGAGCAGUACUAGCGGCAAGAGCAGCAGUAGAGAGCAGCGGCAACAGGUGAGGGCGCACGGCUGGGAGGCGGGAGCAGCAGCCAAAGCAGCGCAACAGCAGGAGCAGCGAGCAGAGUAGUGAAGCAGCAAGCAGGCGCAGCGGUUAGCAAGCAGCAGCAAGCCGCGGCGAGGCUACGCGCAGGCGCACGUGCACAGCAACGGCACCAACAGCGCAGGAGCGGCAGCCGCACCCACGCGUACGCAGGGGUUCAUGCACGACGGUGAUGGCGACCUACGGCGUCCAAAUCAAAGGGGGAAAAGGGGGGAUCGGCGGAGGGCCUCACUGUGAGCGCGACGGCGUGGUCGGGGAGGUUGUGGUGGUGUAGAUCGACAUCGACGACGACGAGGCAGUGGCAAGACCGAACGAGGAGAAGCACUCGAUCCCGACGGUGUGGUGGAUCCCGGCUCGUACGCGUGGUCGGGGAUGAAGCAGCGGAUGUCGGGGGUUCUCAGGGACUCGGCGGUGCGGCGCGGGGCAGCCGAUGGCCAUGGCAACAGCGACGGUAGCGAGCGACUGCGCGAUGCGAGGAAGAGAACGAGCGAGGGGAGGGGAAAGUGGGCGCUAGGGUUUGCCUAUGCGUUUGGGGAUGGUCUUAUCCUCCUCCUGGCGUCAUUGUAGCGCCAGACGUCGAGCAUCG